rnacentral:rRNA from 1 species
UACGUAGGGUGCAAGCGUUAAUCGGAAUUACUGGGCGUAAAGCGUGCGCAGGCGGUUAUGUAAGACAGGCGUGAAAUCCCCGGGCUCAACCUGGGAAUUGCGCUUGUGACUGCAUAACUAGAGUACGGCAGAGGGGGAUGGAAUUCCGCGUGUAGCAGUGAAAUGCGUAGAUAUGCGGAGGAACACCGAUGGCGAAGGCAGUCCCCUGGGCCUGUACUGACGCUCAUGCACGAAAGCGUGGGGAGCAAACAGGAUUAGAUACCCUGGUAGUCCACGCCCUAAACGAUGUCAACUGGUUGUUGGGUAUUUACUUACUCAGUAACGAAGCUAACGCGUGAAGUUGACCGCCUGGGGAGUACGGCCGCAAGGUUGAAACUCAAAGGAAUUGACGGGGGCCCGCACAAGCGGUGGAUGAUGUGGUUUAAUUCGAUGCAACGCGAAAAACCUUACCUACCCUUGACAUGUCAGGAAGUUUCCAGAGAUGGAUUCGUGCUCGAAAGAGAACCUGAACACAGGUGCUGCAUGGCUGUCGUCAGCUCGUGUCGUAAGAUGUUGGGUUAAGUCCCGCAACGAGCGCAACCCUUGUCAUUAGUUGCUACAUUUAGUUGGGCACUCUAAUGAGACUGCCGGUGACAAACCGGAGGAAGGUGGGGAUGACGUCAAGUCCUCAUGGCCCUUAUGGGUAGGGCUACACACGUCAUACAAUGGCUGGUACAAAGGGUUGCCAACCCGCGAGGGGGAGCUAAUCCCAUAAACCCAGUCGUAGUCCGGAUUGUAGUCUGCAACUCGACUGCAUGAAGUCGGAAUCGCUAGUAAUCGUGGAUCAGAAUGUCACGGUGAAUACGUUCCCGGGUCU